GAUCCUGGCUCAGGAUGAACGCUAGCGGCAGGCUUAACACAUGCAAGUCGAGGGGUAUAGUAGCAAUACUAGAGACCGGCGCACGGGUGCGUAACGCGUAUGCAACCUACCUUUUACAGAGGGAUAGCCCAAGAGUAAAUUUGGAUUAAUACCUCAUAGUGUUAUUAGAUGGCAUCAUUUGAUAACUAAAGUUCCAACGGUAAAAGAUGGGCAUGCGUCCUAUUAGCUAGAUGGUAAGGUAACGGCUUACCAUGGCUACGAUAGGUAGGGGUCCUGAGAGGGAGAUCCCCCCACACUGGUACUGAGACACGGACCAGACUCCUACGGGAGGCAGCAGUGAGGAAUAUUGGACAAUGGGCGCAAGCCUGAUCCAGCCAUGCCGCGUGCAGGAAGAAGCAUCUAUGGUGUGUAAACUGCUUUUGUACGGGAAGAAACACUCCUACGUGUAGGAGCUUGACGGUACCGUAAGAAUAAGGAUCGGCUAACUCCGUG
rnacentral:rRNA from 1 species